UAUGGGCACCCUCCAAGAGAGGAAUCGCACUCACUCUCAUCUCUCUGCUGAUACAAUGUGAAUUAUACUCAGCCCAGAUUCCCUGCCACGGCUCAGAGCAUCACUCUACUACUGCAGUAUCAGUAAGGAAGAGGAUGCCACCAUGUGGUUGAUUGGGCUGACCUAGGAGUCGUGUUGUUUGGCAGAUCAGGUUUUAUCACUAGAAAUGUGGAGAGCAAAGGCCCCCACUAGAUACACAAACCAGCCCUCAAACUUGCCUGCCAGCCAGUGCUGUAACAAUAAGAGACCUCAUUGAACUACAGAGCCCGAUCCCAGCUGGUUGUGGCUUGAAGUCAAAGGAAUUAUAUCAAUUCACAGCAGCUGAGGAACUGGCCCUAUAUUUUAUACUACUCAAAAUGUUUCUGUAGCAGAGGAUAUUUUGCAGACCAGAGGGCCAAGAGCAAUAGAGAUGACCCCAGAGUUUUAACACUAAUAUUUAUCUCCAGCAAUAAUUGGUGCUUUUGUGGCCUGUGGAACAAGGCUGUGAGUCCCAGAUCUCUUGUGACCACAAGAACCUGAUUCCUGGCCACUGCUGUCCAGAGAGGAAACCAGUCUCUGUGAGCCACUUCAGGCAAUGCAUGGAGCCUCCUGCGACUCUGCACUGCAGGAAUGAGAGGUGCCUUAUUCCCUUCUGUUCCAGCUGAAAUGGGAGAGUCAGGAAGAGAAAAUUAUUAAAGCAACCUUUGACAGAAGCAGAGCAUUGGCUGCAAUGGUCCUCCUGCGUUAUCUGUGGCAGGAAAAAUGGAUCUAGAGCUGCUUGAGCGAGCUUGCACCAGUGGAUGAACUAGCAAAAGCAGUCUUGAGCUGUGCAGAAACAGUCCCUCCUGGAGAAAAUGGUUAUCUUGAGAUUUCAGUCUUUUGUGUUCUCAAAAGCAAAACCUGAGCAUUAGAAAUCUAGACAGCAAUCAUGGGAGGAUCCAAGGCCUCAUGUAGGAAGGGUUGAAGUUGUGCAGAAGCCUGAAGAGAACAAGGACCAUGACAUGUGGCCAGUGACAUAAAUAUAGAGGUCCCUGAUAAAGGAAGUGGAAGAAGGGUGAGGUGAGGUGAGCUGAACAAGUGGCUCCAGUCGCACAGGGCCGCAACAAAAAUGCUAAGGAAUAAGUAAUUCCAAGACUGGGUGUAUACAGAAUUGAAUAGCACCUCCCACCCCGAAAUCAAAAAGCAUCUUAUUUGUUACUUCUAAAAUAGUCACAGAUUUUAUCUGGGAAGAAUUUCCAUGAACAGCAUCAGUACAUGGGGAAGAUUGCACCCUUGACUGUGAUAUGUUUCCCAGGUGUACACCCAGAUGACUUCACCAGUGGUUUUCCCCUUUGGAUUGCAUUGUAUAAAUGCCAUUAGUGCUCAGAGAGCACUUGUCUAAGCCACCUCCCUCUCUCCCCCCAACCCCAGGAGCUGCUUUUCAACACAACCCUGAUCUGGCAUUGCACAACAGAAAGCGUGUAGAGACAGGCUCAGGCUUUCCUGAUGAGCUCAGAUCCUCUAUAACUGCUUGAGAGAAUUAUUACCAAUAAAUAAACUAGCAAAAGCAUUCUUGUGCCAUGAAGUAUCUUGUGCUGUGUAAAAAAGUCCCUCCUGGAAAAACUGAUUACUUCAGAUUUCAUUUGUUGGGGUUCUUCAAAUAAAAAGUCAAAAGUUUGUGUUGGAAAUAUUGAA